ensembl:lncRNA
CUGGGACCGUGCAUACCGGUGUUCCUGCAUUCUCAAGAGGUCACUUAGCAUCUAGCAUGAGAGGAGGGGAGGCUCAAGCCUGGGGUUUAUAAAAUGCUUACUGAUUUGGGUGAAUCAGAUCAUUUCACAGCGGGAAAGCCCACGGAUUCAGAAGAAUUGUGCAGAAGGGCUCCACAUCACACACGUGGCUGGGAAGCUGGUACAUGGCAUCACGGCUCAGAAGGUCGGGGAAAAUUAUCAUAAUCUGCUGCUCCAGCUUCUGGAAUAAAAGCCUGUUAAUGCCUGGAUGAAUUGGAGAACAUUUUUCAGACGGAGAUCAAACUUCCACCACGAUAUUCCUUACAACAUUAUUAUAAUAGCUUACGGUGCCAGAGCUUACUUGUGGGACUGCUUGGCUGCAGAGUCGUAUCAGGAGUACUCGUAUAGCUGGCUGUCCAGAGUUAAACUGUGUGUGUGUGACCUGCAGUCCCUGAUGUGACCUCAUUCAAGAAGAAAAAUAAGGGAGAAAGAAAAGUGGGAGGAGAGGAGAUAUUUCUCUGCAUGAUUCGGACAUGUAGAUGCGGUGUGUUGCCAGUUUGGGGGUGAGAUAAACAGUCAAAAGUUUUGGAGGUUAAUGCGGAUUUGCACAUAUCCUCUUAAAUUCAGUGGGGGUAUUAUGAGUCACUGGAGGAAAUCCUGACCGAGCAACACAUUAAAUUGGAUUAAGACCAAAUGCUAUGUUUUGAGUGAGCCUUAAACAAAAUCUGUACUGCCAUACGUGCUUUGCAAGAGCUAUCAGUGAAUUCUACUCACAGCAGUCCUACAGACUAAGAUAUUUUACAGCCAUGACUGAGAUGCUGAUAGUGAUUUACUGUUCUGAAAAUGUCCUCAUUAUUAACAUGAUGCUGAGACAUUUUAAAUUCAUAGAUACUGUCAGUCUCUUGGCAGAAGGCUCCAUCUCCUGAGUUAGGUGAAAGUCAGACGUUCAAGCAAUCAAAUGAAGUGAAAAACAUUUUUAGAGAAAUCCCAGGAAACCAGGUAAUGGCCCGAAAAAAAAAAGGCAAAGUCUCCCAG